rnacentral:tRNA from 1 species
GGGGCUAUAGCUCAGCUGGGAGAGCGCUUGCAUGGCAUGCAAGAGGUCAGCGGUU